rnacentral:rRNA from 1 species
CUGAAUAUGGGGGGACCAUCCUCCAAGGCUAAAUACUCCUGACUGACCGAUAGUGAACCAGUACCGUGAGGGAAAGGCGAAAAGAACCCCGGCGAGGGGAGUGAAAAAGAACCUGAAACCGUGUACGUACAAGCAGUGGGAGCACAGAGCAAUCUGUGUGACUGCGUACCUUUUGUAUAAUGGGUCAGCGACUUAUAUUCUGUAGCAAGGUUAACCGAAUAGGGGAGCCGAAGGGAAACCGAGUCUUAACUGGGCGUUAAGUUGCAGGGUAUAGACCCGAAACCCGGUGAUCUAGCCAUGGGCAGGUUGAAGGUUGGGUAACACUAACUGGAGGACCGAACCGACUAAUGUUGAAAAAUUAGCGGAUGACUUGUGGCUGGGGGUGAAAGGCCAAUCAAACCGGGAGAUAGCUGGUUCUCCCCGAAAGCUAUUUAGGUAGCGCCUCGUGAAUUCAUCUCCGGGGGUAGAGCACUGUUUCGGCAAGGGGGUCAUCCCGACUUACCAACCCGAUGCAAACUGCGAAUACCGGAGAAUGUUAUCACGGGAGACACACGGCGGGUGCUAACGUCCGUCGUGAAGAGGGAAACAACCCAGACCGCCAGCUAAGGUCCCAAAGUCAUGGUUAAGUGGGAAACGAUGUGGGAAGGCCCAGACAGCCAGGAUGUUGGCUUAGAAGCAGCCAUCAUUUAAAGAAAGCGUAAUAGCUCACUGGUCGAGUCGGCCUGCGCGGAAGAUGUAACGGGGCUAAACCAUGCACCGAAGCUGCGGCAGCGACGCUGAUGCGUUGUUGGGUAGGGGAGCGUUCUGUAAGCCUGUGAAGGUGUGCUGUGAGGCAUGCUGGAGGUAUCAGAAGUGCGAAUGCUGACAUAAGUAACGAUAAAGCGGGUGAAAAGCCCGCUCGCCGGAAGACCAAGGGUUCCUGUCCAACGUUAAUCGGGGCAGGGUGAGUCGACCCCUAAGGCGAGGCCGAAAGGCGUAGUCGAUGGGAAACAGGUUAAUAUUCCUGUACUUGGUGUUACUG